GACGAACGCUGGCGGCGUGCUUAACACAUGCAAGUCGAACGGAAAGGCCCUGCUUUUGUGGGGUGCUCGAGUGGCGAACGGGUGAGUAACACGUGAGUAACCUGCCCUUGACUUUGGGAUAACUUCAGGAAACUGGGGCUAAUACCGGAUAGGAGCUCCUGCUGCAUGGUGGGGGUUGGAAAGUUUCGGCGGUUGGGGAUGGACUCGCGGCUUAUCAGCUUGUUGGUGGGGUAGUGGCUUACCAAGGCUUUCACGGGUAGCCGGCCUGAGAGGGUGACCGGCCACAUUGGGACUGAGAUACGGCCCAGACUCCUACGGGAGGCAGCAGUGGGGAAUAUUGCACAAUGGGCGGAAGCCUGAUGCAGCAACGCCGCGUGCGGGAUGACGGCCUUCGGGUUGUAAACCGCUUUCGCCUGUGACGAAGCGUGAGUGACGGUAAUGGGUAAAGAAGCACCGGCUAACUACGUG
rnacentral:rRNA from 1 species